UUGAAGUGGUUCGGUUGUCCGCAAUAGCUUACGACAACUGCGAUGAAACGUAGACGAGUUAUCAAUUAAGAGUAGACGAUAACACAGGAAUUGUCCCUUUAUUUUUUUCUCUGUGAUUUUCGUGUUUUCUGUCCCCGAGACGGCCAACCAGUAAGAGAUAAUGCAAUGCAGAGGAGAAGUUGCAAUGGCAAGAAAACGAAGUCACAGAUCAUAAUUUCGGAUGUCAGCUGACCUUUAGCUACUGUCCUCUAUAACUGCAGAGAUCUACGAGGCGCGAAGCCGAUCAUAACGAUAAUAACCAUAAUAGGUCAUCCAAAUUAAAGCGAACAUUGGAAAAUAUCGUGAUGGACGUCGUUUCGCUCAGUUUCAAAAUCAACGCUAUAUAACGGUUGUGUCAGCAUCGAUUACACUCCACCCCCGGGUGAUGUUGGUCAACAAUCAUCAAGUCAACCUCGCUCAAUCAUAAUUCCUACUAUGCCCGUGUAUGACUUAAGGACAAGCGCGGCCUUCCGGUCCCACGUCUGCAACAGCCCCUUUCUAUUGGCUACAGACGGCGGAGACAAGGUGCUGACUUUGUAACUCUCUCCGGAUACGGUUCAAUCGCACCUGCAUCGUGCGGUAAUACGGCAUUGCCUCCAUCAGCCUCCGCAUGAUUAUUUUGCACACGCACGAACCGCCGUAGAGCAUAAAGCAUUUUUGCUGGAACAAGUGAUAACCUCCCUGUACUGUAUUCACCGAGUCACCCUUUGUAUAUUCUGAGUACUAUGUGUGUUACAGGCAGACCGCUUACUCUGAUUCAGCCCGUUUUUUAUGUGGCCUGCGCCGCCUGGCGACAGCUUCGCUUUGUUCGCUCGAAAUGCCAUAUGUACAUGUCGCCUCGAGGACUCUGCAUAUUUUGCGAACGUACAGUUCUUCUGACAGAGAAAUUCUUCUGACCGCUACGCGGAACAGUCAUUUGAAAACGCAGAUUUACUAGCAGUCCUCCAAAUGGCGGACCAGUUGUGAUUGUGUUUACUUUGACCAUGUUCCAUAGACAGCAGUGGAUGCUAUAAGUUGCAUAAUAGAAAUAUAAAAAUAAACACGAUAUACGAGCAUUAGCUGUCACUUGCAUUGCUGAUAAUAAAAUGCCAUAGUAACAUGUGAUCAGCGAUGAGAUAUUCUCAAAUAGCCAAUAAGCGAUACGUUUAUUACUACCGUCCGUAGUGAGCAACGUAUAAAGUAUACAAAUGUAACAGUCAAAGGGCAGCGCCCGCACCGAGUAUUUCCUUACGAACGCCCCUGGCCGACGCAACGUUAUUGUAGUUCGAAUGG